rnacentral:rRNA from 1 species
UACGUAGGGUGCAAGCGUUGUCCGGAAUUAUUGGGCGUAAAGAGCUCGUAGGCGGUUUGUCGCGUCUGCUGUGAAAACUCGGGGCUUAACUCCGGGCCUGCAGUGGGUACGGGCAGACUAGAGUGCGGUAGGGGAGACUGGAAUUCCCGGUGUAGCGGUGAAAUGCGCAGAUAUCAGGAGGAACACCGGUGGCGAAGGCGGGUCUCUGGGCCGAAAUUGACGCUGAGGAGCGAAAGCGUGGGGAGCAAACAGG